rnacentral:rRNA from 1 species
UACGUAGGGUGCAAGCGUUGUCCGGAAUUAUUGGGCGUAAAGAGCUCGUAGGCGGUUUGUCGCGUCUGCUGUGAAAACGCGAGGCUCAACCUCGCGCCUGCAGUGGGUACGGGCAGACUGGAGUGCGGUAGGGGAGAUUGGAAUUCCUGGUGUAGCGGUGGAAUGCGCAGAUAUCAGGAGGAACACCGAUGGCGAAGGCAGAUCUCUGGGCCACUACUGACGCUGAGAAGCGAAAGCAUGGGGAGCGAACAGG